rnacentral:sRNA from 2 species
UCCUCCUAUACUUAUGAUCCUCAGUGGCGUUUUUGAGGUAAUGUGGCAAAUUUACUAGGAGGUUCGGGAAGGGGAAGCCGCUGGUACUCGCGCUUAGACUCCGUUACGCCAUUCAGGGACCAUACCAAGCUCAUUUCACGGUAGCCUUAUCCAUGGAUAGGCAGGCCUUUCCACUUUUUGCUGUCAGUGAAAAAGUUGACGCUCCUCUGCUAGCUAGAAAUGAUGGACACCGGAAGCUGUGCAUCUGAACUUCCCUACGUUUGCAGGAAUAGAGCGCGCGCCUAUAUAUAUAUAUAAUAUUCCAGUAUUUCUAUAGUGCGGUGGGGAAAUUUUCUACCAUUGGCAAACUCCGAUUAAGCUCCGUAUUUUGCAGUUCCAUAUGCCAUCUUACAUUGUUUCUGGCACGAUUGCCCAAAAGCUGCGGAUCGGGCAAACAAAAGAUGAACAUAUGAGAGUUAGCACUUGCUUUAAGGCACUUCUUAUUUAUUGUACACGUAUCUAUGUCUAGUGCAUAUGCAUGCGGCACGAAGACCUUUUUCAUAGGAGCGCUGGCGAACUUCAACGUCCAGUUGACAGGAGGUAAUGAUGCGUGCAAAAUCGUCCUGGCGAUGGGACAUAUCGUGACGGCGCGGAUCCUUCAUGUUGACCCAGCUCACGCUCAUUGGUACGAAAUAGUAGAGGGCAAUGAUUACAUGUUAGCGGAGCGUUGUCCCCGAAAGUGAUUUAUAUCUCUUCGGAAACAGGAUAAACCAUUGCCACCUUUUCAGCUUCUCUCGGGCUAGGGCAGUGUGUGCAAAUAACUUAGCUUUCUCUAGCGAGAAUUGGCUUAUAAAAGUCACUACCAGCUGGAGAAAUAGAAAGACAUACGUGUAUAUUAACCCCUAUUAAUACAAAGUCAUAUGGAAUAUCCAUUUAUACCCCUUGCUGGGGAUAUAAACAAACAUGGUAUCAUACAGGUGUAUUGGAAGUGGAAUAAUAAACAAGUACCACUCCUAUUUGUAGCAGGAAUGCAAAAGGUAGGGGGAAAUGCAAUUGCUUCAUUCUUCCGGUGGUAAAAGGACACGUGAAACCAACCAGAAGGGUAAAAAAAUAAUUAGAAAAAUUUUAAAAUUAAACAGGACAAGCGGGGAAAUAGCCAAAGCAUCAACGAACUGUUGAAGCCGUUGAUUGGCGUGACGCUGGGUUCGGGGGGGAUAUAUCAACAUUCAUAGCAUCAAAUACCCACGCGCUUGUAAUCUUCUUCUUUUGCCGCAUUAGACUAAGAGGCGUGAUCCAUUCCGCUAGCAGGUUCGAGAGACGGCCGCUAUCUUUGUUGUGGGUCCAAUUUUCACAGGCGGUUUUGUAUGCGUGGUCGAUGGUUUUACGACGGAUGGAUUCAUAGAUGCGGAAGGCUUCCGAGAGGGGUUCGUGGAUGUAUUUUGUCAGGACGCGGGCGAAGAGGAUGGCGUCAUCCAGGGCGUAGGCGGCUGACUCGUCUUUGGGGGGCAUAGCAUGAGCUGCAUCACCUAACAGUAGGAUCCUUUCCGUAUACCAUUUCCCCCCGGGAUGUAUCUGAUACACUGGAUACAGAAACCAAUCCCAGCAUUUUUCUGCAAUCUCGCGAAUGCACGGAAUUGCUGAUUUCCCGAAGCGAUUCUGAAUAUCAUCCCUCAAGAUCAUGACCGCGGUGCUCUUUGUCUUCCACGAAUCCGAUGCCUGAUAUUUGCAUAUUUCAUAGGUCAACCGUGCCUCAUCGACUUCAGCCAAUGCUGCCACGAACAUAUUUUCCUUUUCGCUAUCGCAAUAGGUCGUCAACAUCGUCCCAUGCCUCGAUCUGUUGAGCGCUGUGACGCUGAAGUGCUUGGACGACCUUAUUACCUCCGAUUUUAUCGUGGCUUGAAUAAACGAAAUCCCCGUAUACUCCGAUAUUCUAUCUGGAUCAACAAUGGUUGAUCUCGUAGCCGAAUGUACACCGUCACACCCCAAAGCCAAGUCACCUUUCGCAAAAGUGCCAUCCUCGAAAUAAAUUGUGACACAUUUGUCCGUCUCGAUGCCGCCUACAACCUUUUUCCCGAACAUCAUUUCAAUAUUACUCCGUUUCUCCACGGCGGAUAUCAAAGCCAGAUGGAGACAAAUGCGCAUUAUUCGUCGACCCUUAUAACCACCAUAACCCUUGCCGUCUUUGCCUGCAAAGUCGACCGCUCCCAUUUUUUUGCCACUAUGCGAGGAGAAAAUUUCUAUCUCGUCCACUUCCACGCCCCCUUGAGGGCCCAAAUAUUGCAGCUCAUCGAGCACACCUAAAUGAUCGAGGUGCCUAUGGGCGACGGGUGUGAGGUUGAUCGCGCCACCGGAAGUUGAAGGAACGUCUCGCAGCUCAUAUAUAAUGAUUUUGAGGUUCGGAAGUACCGGAGUGAGAGUUUUAGACAGCGCGAGAGCGGAAGCAAUGCCUGCAAUGCCGCCGCCUAGGAUUAGGAUCGUAUAUGGGGCAGUCGCCUGGGUAUUCGAAGCCAUGAGGGAAUCUUAGCAAUACAUCAAGAGCCAGGCC